rnacentral:sRNA from 1 species
AAUAAUUGUAUGGUUGGGGGUCACCACAGCAUGAGGAAUUGUAUUAAAGGAUCACAACAUUAGGAAGGUUGGGAAUCACUGCAUUAAAUGGUCUAGCCUCUCUGAAGCUAGUUUGGUACUCUCUUAAAAACUGAGCAUAUACCCUAUCCAUGGUAGGACUCUGCAAUUGUAUUUGUCUUUUAUCCCAGAGUAAUGAAAGCUCCUAUCUACACAAACAUCUGUCCACCAGUGCUAAUGGCAGCAGGACAUCCUGCUGACUGGAAACAGCUGAUCUCAAAGUCAAAUAUUUUAUGAUUUUAUUUACAUAGUUAUGAACAGCCUACAGAUAGCAGCAUGGCAGAAAUGGAGAAAUUCAGCAGUUGCCAUUGGUUAAGAUUGGUAGGUGGAGGUAUGAAUUAAAGACCCAGAGGAAAGAGAGCUUCUAGAGGAAGAAAUGGCUGUGAUUCUUUGUUUCAGUACUAACAAGUCUCUCAGGGUUAGAAUAGCAAACACUGAUUGUAUCAAUGUCAACUUCCUGGAUUCCAUUUGGACACAGUAAUGUAAGAUUAUAACCACCGAGGGGAAACCCAGUACUAGGACCUGGCCUACUAUCUUUGCAACUUCCUGCGUAUAGCUAAUGCUUUUUAAAACAAAAAGCCUUUUGAAAAAGCAAUUUAUGCUGUGUAGAAAAUUAUAGAAGAUGGGGAAAAAUAUAAAAUUGCUAUUUUUAACAUUUGGAACCUUUGGUGUUUGUUUUAGGAUAUUGGAAGUUAUUGCUUAAUUUCUGGUUUUGCUCCUCUCCCCAAGACAUACUUGACAUAACAUAAACUGUUGCUUUAAAUUUUUUUCUAUUAUGAUUUUGUGCAUGCUUGUGCAGAAGUCAGUUAACUGUGGGGUAGAUCUUUUUUUCCCCUUGAGAAAUGAGCUGUACCUUGAGUGUCUCUCUUCUCUAUGUUUAUACAGAAUAUUAUAGCACCAGGAGCUCAUCUGUUUCUAACAACCAUGAUUUUCUCUCCCUACUGGCACAGGUAGACCAUGCUGACUGCCUGCACCCUCAACCUGGGGAGCCUUUAUGGUGUGCCAAGAUUGGAGCCAUCACAUUUGCAUCCUUAAAUCCCACAGACAUUCCAUCAAGAGACAUACUUAGCCUUCUCACAAGUGAAAACAGAUUCAGGAGAGCAGGCUCUCAGAGUUUCAGUAUCCAUUCUGAGAUUGUAUCUCUGUCAUGUAACAGUUUCCUCAAGAUUGAAACAUUCCAUCCUUCAGGGAAGCUCAGAAGAUGCAGGUACAACGUGGCCAGUAGACCCCAGCUCCUGUGCUGUUCCUUCCCCACCAUGAUGGGCUGUAUCCCCUUGAACUGCAAAUAAACCCUUCCUCCCUUAA